GACGAACGCUGGCGGCGUGCCUAAUACAUGCAAGUCGAGCGCUGAAGGCUGGUACUUGUUCCGACGGGAAGAGCAGCGAACGGGUGAGUAACGCGUGGGGAAUCUGCCUUUGAGCGGGGGACAAAAUUGGGAAACGAAUGCUAAUACAGCAUAAAAACUUUAAAUACCCGUUCUAAGUAUGAAAGAUGCAAUUACAUCACUCAUAGAUGAUUCCGCGUUGUAUUAGCUAGGUGGUGAGGUAAAGGCUCACCAAGGCGACGAUACAUAGCCGACCUGAGAGGGUGGACGGCCCCAUUUGGACUGGGACCACGCCCCAACCCCCUCCGGGGGCAGCCGGAGGGAAUCUUCGCGAAUUGGCGGAAGUCCUGCCGGACAACGCCGCGUGGAUGGAGAAAGUCUUCCGGUCGUUAAACUCUUUUGGUUGAGAAGAACGUUGGGUUGUAUGGAAAGCUCAUCAUGUGACGGUAACUGCGCAGAAAGCGCCGGCUAACUACGUG
rnacentral:rRNA from 1 species